UUAAUGAGAGUUUGAUCCUGGCUCAGGACGAACGCUGGCGGCGUGCCUAAUACAUGCAAGUAGAACGCUGAGGUUUGGUGUUUACACUAGACUGAUGAGUUGCGAACGGGUGAGUAACGCGUAGGUAACCUGCCUCAUAGCGGGGGAUAACUAUUGGAAACGAUAGCUAAUACCGCAUAAGAGUAAUUAACACAUGUUGGUUAUUUAAAAGGAGCAAUUGCUUCACUGUGAGAUGGACCUGCGUUGUAUUAGCUAGUUGGUGAGGUAAAGGCUCACCAAGGCGACGAUACAUAGCCGACCUGAGAGGGUGAUCGGCCACACUGGGACUGAGACACGGCCCAGACUCCUACGGGAGGCAGCAGUAGGGAAUCUUCGGCAAUGGACGGAAGUCUGACCGAGCAACGCCGCGUGAGUGAAGAAGGUUUUCGGAUCGUAAAGCUCUGUUGUUAGAGAAGAACGUUGGUAGGAGUGGAAAAUCUACCAAGUGACGGUAACUAACCAGAAAGGGACGGCUAACUACGUGCCAGCAGCCGCGGUAAUACGUAGGUCCCGAGCGUUGUCCGGAUUUAUUGGGCGUAAAGCGAGCGCAGGCGGUUCUUUAAGUCUGAAGUUAAAGGCAGUGGCUUAACCAUUGUACGCUUUGGAAACUGGAGGACUUGAGUGCAGAAGGGGAGAGUGG
rnacentral:rRNA from 1 species